rnacentral:rRNA from 1 species
CUGGCUCAGGACGAACGCUGGCGGCGUGCCUAAUACAUGCAAGUCGAGCGGACAGAUGGGAGCUUGCUCCCUGAUGUUAGCGGCGGACGGGUGAGUA